UCAACAGUCAUUGAAACGCAUAUCAGCCGAAUGUCGAAUUGUCAACAAGUUUGGAUCAUCUAUGCAAAUCUUCGUUUUGAUUGCGUUUCUCUUCAAGUUAAGUAUUUUAAAAAUGAUGAUAAUUUAAAAAAAAAAUCGAACAUUUCGCGAAUAGAAAAGUCUGGCUGUGUAUCCAUGAAUAAUUACCCGAUUGAAGCAGCAUGAAUCGCACGCUGAGGUGAGAGAGAUCAGAGCAAGAGUCAAACACGGAAACGAUUACCAUUUUUGCAUAAGUAAUUAGACCGACGGUGUUCGAUUCAUGAAAUUCAAGAUGCCCCGCAAUUCCUCAAAUUAAGCGGCUUAAUUUAAGCCACUCCAACGUAUUCCCGUCCAUCCCCGCAACCGCCUGCUAUAUAUUAAUUCAAACGCUACGAUUGGCGCACCUGAUGCGGUUUCGUCAAUAUUUAGGUCGCACUUCAAUUCGAGGAACGCCCCAAUAAAAACAAUAGUUCCUCUCGAAGUAUACGCAAGUAUGGUAAAUUAAAGGUAUACACUAUAAUACUUAAUAUAGAGUGACGCAUGCGCUAAUCUCUCCUAUCUCUUCCGAACGUUCAAACGCUUGAUUCCCCCCCUACCCGAGCAUCUGUCCUCUAUUAGAAACCGAAUCUGAUGACGAUCACUGAAGUUUCUCAAGGCUCGCGCGAGCCUAUCUCUCAUACACAACAGCGUCGCUCUCCAAAAUAAUCAUCAUCAGAGAGAAACCAUCAGCGGUCGUCAGCUCAUUCGGCAUUCGAUCUAGCGUAUAGCUAUAUAGAGUCGAGAAAAUUCCACGUCCGAAAUAAAAAUACACUUGUACCGCGGCGACCAACACAGCUGCGCGAAAACACAAAGAGCAUCAGGCCUUCGCUUCGCGGAGCUCGUCGUUCAGCAGCGCGCACCUUGACUUUCCGAAAUCCGCGCUCGUUCGGGGACCUCAAAAAAAGACCUGCUCACGGCGUACAAUACAUGUAUAUAUCUAUAUAUUGUAUAUUGUAUACACACAGACAGGGACAGUAGUAGCCUUCCGUUCCGCGAGCUGCGCGCGAGUGCGGACUUGGCGAGUGGCGCAAAGGAGCCACAGUCGCCCAGAAGGAAAGAGAGAGGGCAACUGCGUGUAGCCAGUAUAUUGUAUAGGCAGUAUAGGUAUAAGUAGUAACGGUAUACCUAUACACGUACGAGCCUGAGCGAGAGAGAUAUAUAUGCCAUACACCCGUCGCUACACUCGCAUAUUGUAAAUUUGUAAUACAGACGCAGACAGACAGAGGCGGGCGGCCUUCGCUAAAACUCCGAGUGCGCGGCUCUCUCGCUUGUAUAAGUGUGUAUAUGCGUGUGUGACAAAAGGCUCCCUACAAUAAUUAUACUCGAAAAGCAGGCAGUAUACCGCGGAGGAGCAACGCCAACGAGGGACCGUAGCACAAAGCAGCAGAGCCAACGCGCACGAAAACUGCGCUGCGGGAAAAAUCGUUCCUCUGCACAUACAGUGAUACAGCGCAGUAUAAGUAUACUAGUAUAGCACUAGUAGGUAGUGCCUUUUGUAGUUGGACUGCGUACGCAUACAGAAAGAGGGAGAAAGACGGAGCGAGAGCCGUCCUCCUCGCCGUCAGUAUAGUGCUGCUCCGCGGUGCCGUGUAUCCGCGCGCGACUGACUCAUCCUCUGCUGCUGCUGCUGAAGAAGUGUCGAAUCGAAGGUGGUGCGCGAGUGAACUGUUGCAGCUCCGGGAACGGUACACGCUACGCUACGGAUAUAGCGGCUCGUAGCACAAAGACGGAAGGAGUCGUCGUCGUCGUCGUCGUCGUCCAUACUCCAUAGUGCGCGAGAGAAAGAGAGCUCUGCUCGGCGCGCGCACCAACCGCUCUGCCUUCCUUUUCCUCUGCUUCAUCUGUGUUCAUCGCCCGGGACGUCGUCGUGUGAGACAGAGGCUCACCAGCCAGCAGCGAGUCCGAGGAAUGUCGACCCCUGCGAGAAGGCGGCUUAUGAGGGACUUCAAGAGGUUACAGGAAGACCCACCCACUGGAGUCUCGGGGGCGCCGACCGACAACAAUAUUAUGAUAUGGAAUGCUGUUAUAUUUGGACCACAUGACACUCCCUUUGAGGAUGGAACUUUCAAACUCACAAUAGAAUUCACAGAGGAAUACCCUAACAAACCACCAACGGUGAGAUUUGUCAGUAAAAUGUUUCACCCAAAUGUCUAUGCAGAUGGUGGAAUAUGUCUGGACAUUCUGCAAAAUCGUUGGAGUCCCACGUACGAUGUCUCUGCAAUCCUGACAUCCAUACAGUCGCUGUUAAGUGACCCAAACCCAAAUUCACCCGCUAAUUCGAUGGCGGCACAACUGUACAAAGAGAACCGGCGCGAGUACGAGAAACGAGUGAAGGCUUGUGUGGAGCAGAGUUUCGUGGAUUAGUUGGAGGCAAGAGCUCGCCGCUGUCGCAGCAGCAACUUAAGGUUUUGUCAGUAUACCGUACCCUUAACGGCAGCCGACUACAGCUACGGCGAACAGCAGCAGUCGCUACGAGGCGUGUCGAGGAUGAGAGGAGAGCUAACGUGCCACCCCGUGAAUUGGAGCUAACGCCUUUGUGCUUUAGUUUUAUAAGCAUGUCAACUCCCCAAGUCUCUGAUUCGAUCAUAAACACUGUACUCUCUCUCCCUCUCUCUUUUACACACCAAACCUACAUUAACACUACACUCAUUAGGGUAGUCCCUGUUUAUAAAUCAUGAAAAAUUAUUUGAUUUUGUUGACCUUUUUUUUAAUUUAAUACUCUUUUUUGUAUGUGCCAGAUUGGUAUGAGUGUGUGAAAAAAUACGUGCAUAAAAUUCAAAAGAGAGAAUGAAGAAAAAGAGUUGACACUUGUAAUUGAGUUUUCUUGUUGGUGAAAUUUCGUUGUUGAAUAAAUUUAAAUAAUAUCAGCGCCAAUAAUUUUAAAUUCAUCAACUACAUCGUCACAUGAAAUCGUUGAUUUUUUAAAACAUUUAUACACAUACCAUCUUUGAAAAUUGUAUUGCAGUUGAUGUAAAAAUGCAGCUUACGCCGGUGUUUCACUCAAAUAUUCCCAAACCCUUAGAGCUAACAGUGGUUUGAGCACACUUUUGCUACACUGGUGCAAAAAUAAAGAGUAAGGCAAAAAAUUUUGAAUGUUGUGAAAUAUGGGCUACUCUAAGACACAUACACAUGUGCAACCACAUUAGACCGAAUUUUUACAAUGUUGUAUAAUAAAUUAAUAUAAAAUUGUGUAUUUAUUUAUUUGAAUACUGCGAAAGAGAGGAAGCGAGGCGUAAAAAGGAGCUUUACGAAAAUAAAAAAACUAAUCUAGUACAUAUAUCUAUGAUGACUAUUGAAGUAUUAGGAGAUAUGAAUGAAAUAAAUGGAAGUGUUAAUACUAAGUAGCUUUUUUGCUUCUGUACUCUGAAAGAGUUCAGGGGCAAACCCUUCCCUAUUGUGUUACUGUAAAAAGGAGCGCAGAACUGUACUUUUGGUUGGAAUUAUUGUCAUUUAAUUAUUAUAAUUGCUAUUGCUAUUAUGAUUACAAUGAUUGUUAUUAUUAUUAUAGUACUUGUAUAGUACAGGAAAAUUUCAUUCACUUAUACAUAUAAAAAGUAUAUAUACACGAACAUAUAAUAAAAUGCAUAAUUUCAAUUUUUAUCCAAUGUUUUUCGUUUUGUCACCCUUUGACCAAUUAAACGUUGUUGUGAACUCAAAGUUAUUUAAAUAAAUUGUACAUCGUCUUCGAUUUUUCGGGUAUGUUUCAGUCUCUUCUCGACGAGCCAAAUCCGAAUUCUCCGGCUAAUUCUUUAGCUGCACAAUUAUAUCAAGAAAAUAAGCGUGAAUACGAAAAGAGGGUGGCGACCGUCGUCGAACAAUCCUGGUUAAAUUUCCAAGAAAGUGGCUCCACGGAAGACCCCCGCUGACAUUAGAUAUAAGUACUAUUCAACGUUGAAUGCUCCGAUCGACGCUGAUUCGUACUACAUUUCUCAUGUGAUCAUCACUGGACAAGUGUGAACAUAAUUAACGUCCACGCAUCUUUGUGAUUUGUCUUAGAUUUUGUGAUGGCAGAUGCUUGCAGAUCAAAACGAUGCAAAUAUCGCUAGCGCGCGUAUGUGUGGAAAAAGUUUGAAUGUAUGAUUAUUAAGAAUAUGUAAUUCCUUAUUUGUUUAAAUACUAGAUUACAAUGAAAGUUUCUUUACACAGUCAAA